rnacentral:rRNA from 1 species
UACGAAGGGGGCUAGCGUUGCUCGGAAUUACUGGGCGUAAAGCGCACGUAGGCGGUCUUUUAAGUCGGGGGUGAAAUCCUGGAGCUCAACUCCAGAACUGCCUUCGAUACUGGAAGACUUGAGUCCGGGAGAGGUGAGUGGAACUGCGAGUGUAGAGGUGAAAUUCGUAGAUAUUCGGAAGAACACCAGUGGCGAAGGCGACUUACUGGACACGUAUUGACGCUGAGGUGCGAAAGCGUGGGGAGCAAACAGG